GGAAUCUUCCACAAUGGACGAAAGUCUGAUGGAGCAACGCCGCGUGAGUGAAGAAGGUUUUCGGAUCGUAAAACUCUGUUGUUGGAGAAGAACACGUUUGAGAGUAACUGUUCAGACGUUGACGGUAUCCAACCAGAAAGCCACGGCUAACUACGUGCCAGCAGCCGCGGUAAUACGUAGGUGGCGAGCGUUGUUCGGAUUUAUUGGGCGUAAAGGGUCCGCAGGGGGUUGAUUAAGUUUGACGUGAAAUCCCGGAGCUUAACUCCGGAACUGCGUUGAAGACUGGUUGACUAGAGUGCUGGAGAGGUAAUUGGAAUUCCAGGUGUAGCGGUGGAAUGCGUAGAUAUCUGGAAGAAUAUCGAUAGCGAAGGCAGAUUACUGGACAGCAACUGACCCUCAGGGACGAAAGCAUGGGGAGCAAACA
rnacentral:rRNA from 1 species